AAAAAAAAGGAAAAAAAAACUACAGACCACCAUCUCUGAUGAACAUAGAUAUAAAACUUCUCAAUAAAAUAUUUACAAAUAGAAUUCAAUAGCACAUACCAAAAAGAUCAUAUAUGCCAUGAUCAACUUGGUUUCAUUCUAGAGAUGCAAUGAUGUUUCAACAUAUUAUUCAAUAAACAUAAUAGAGCACAUAAAGAGAAUGAAGGGAAAAUAUCACUUGGUAUCAUUUGAUGAAAAAUCUCAAUUGGCAACAUUUCAAAGGCAGAAAUAGUCUUUAACAGAACAAUACAUUCCUCCAUGGUAAAACACCUGAAUAAAGUAGGUAUAGAAGGAUCAAACCUCAAUAUAAUUAAUGAUAUAUAUGACAAAGCCAUAGCCAAAAUCAUACUGAAUGGGGAAAAACUAAAAGCAUUUCCUCUAAGAUCAGGAUCAAGACAAGGGUACCCACUCUUACCACUCUUUUUCAAUAUAGUACUGGAAAUUUAGACUAAGCAAUCACUAACAGAAAGAAAGAAAAUGCAUAUAAAUAGGAAAGGAAGUCAAAUAAUCCCAGUUUACUAAAAUGAUUCUAUAUGUAGAAAAUCUUAAACACUUUACCAAAAGACUUUCAGAACUAAUAAAGUCAGUAAAAUAACAAUAUAAAAUCAACACAAAACAUCAGCAGCUUUUCUAUACAUCAAUAAUGAACUCACUGAGAAAGAAAUCAGGCAAGUAAAUCAUUCACAACAGUCACAAAACAAUAAUAAUAAUAUUACAUUAUUACAUAUGUGUGUGCACUUAUGUGUAUAUACAUGUGUAAAUAUAUAUUAUAUGGAAACUAAAUAAAAGAUAACUUGAAAAUAGAGGCAAUUUAGGUAUUAGGAAGGGUACUCGUAGGAGGGGAGUGAGUAGAGAAGGUAGAAGGGAAGGUGGACAUGAUCAAUGCACUGUUAUACACGUGUAUGGAAAUGCCAUACAGAAACUCAUUAAUUUGGAAUAUAAAUGUGUUAAUAAAAUAUAAUUUUGCAUUUUAUUACUUAUACAUCAUUUAUAUGUGAAAUAUAAUACAAAAAUAAAAUUUACCACUCUAUUAAAAAUUAAAAGUAAAUUAAUGGAAAAAAUAAGUCAUUCUGUUCACAUUUGCAUAACAGAAGAUUUAUUCCAUCUAAAUCAGAGCAGUUUUUAAUGUCAAUGGGAAGAAUCUAUAAUACACUUUUUUCUCCUCCUCCCAAAUAUAUCUACAGUUACACAACAACAAAAAAAGGAAAUGUACGUUGUCCCAUUAUCCAAGUCCCAUUCCCUAAGAAAGGCAUUUUAAUGGCUUAUACUUUUAUGCUUACAGUGGUUUCCUCUUCAUCAAUGGUUUUGUUUUCCAUAGUUUCAGUUACCAAUUAUUUCUAAAAAUUAUUCUUACCCUUUUCAACAACCUGACAUAAACCAUCAAUUUUCCAAAGUUCAUAAAGCUGCUAUUCAAUGCAUGCACCCACUGGAUCAAAAAAAAAAUUACUGAAGAUACAGAUGAUAUUUCAAAUACUGAGGAAACCAAGAGGAGCAACAUACUGAGGCAGGAUCUGACUCUUCCAUAGAAAAAAACACUUUAAAAAACAGUCACAAUAAAUUAUGUAUGUAUCCUUUACAUGCUCCCCCAAAAGAUUACAUACUAAUUACAUGAAAAUACUUCCCUGGGCUGGGUUUGUAGCUCAGUGGUAGAGCACUUGGCUAGCACAUGUGAGGUACAGGGUUCGAUCCUUAGCACCACAUAAAAAUUAAAUAAAGGUAUUGUGUCCAUCCACAACUAAAAAUUUUUUUUUUAAAAAAAGUAGAAGAAGAAGAAAAAAUAGUCCCUUAAUGAUAGCUGAAGAAUAGCCCCAGGAACACUAUAGAAUAUAUUCUUAUUUUUGUCAUGUUUCUGAUUACUGAAGUUCUGUUUUGAAAUAAGGGGCAUUUCUAAUCUACAUAUUUUGUUCAUCUCAUACUACUUUAAAAUUAUUCAGGACAUUUAAUAAACAAAUAUUCCUCAGAAAAUAUGGCAACUCAAAUAGCUAAGAUUUCCUUGAGGAUGAAAACUUAAGACAAAAAUUCACCUCUAAGAAAUCAGUCCUUGAAGAAACACUGUUGCAGGGCUGGCAGAGCUCUCAGAAAAACAACUCAAACAAGCCAAUGAAAUAGGCAAAUGAAAGACAAGUUAAAGGAAAAAAGACCCGGAAAUUUAGACCAAAAGGGGAGAGGAGGAAACAGAUAAUGACCAGAUAAAGCCACUAUUAGAACAAUAAUUAUUCAUUUUUCUUACAUAGUAUAAAGAAAUAAAAACCAUACUAUAGCCUAAUAAGAUUAUAUAACAAUUAAGCACUAGAAAAGACUCUAGGGAAUCACUUCUUUCUUUGCAAAGAUUAAGGAAACUGAGGCCCAGAAAAACAAAAUGACUUAUUCAAGGUCACAAGUACCUUAUCUGAGGUCACAAAGCUCACUUAAUAAAACAUGAAAUAAAAUAUAAGUUUUCCAACUCUUAGAUGAGAGACCCAAUCCAUAUUUCAAAAACAACAAUCAGAUGAGCAUUACCUCAUCUUUGAAGCCUCCUCCAUUUGUAUUUAUCCUGGUACUCCUUACCCUCCCAACUUGGUAAAACUGAACAAGUAUUUAUGUUCCUUUUGAAAGUUAAAACCUUUUACCAUGCGCUUUUCUCCACAUCAAAAACUCUGCUUUGUAUAAUUGUACCUUCUCUAUAUGAUCAUUCAUAUCAACAAAGAAGCUCUAAUGAAACUGAUGUUUGACUCCAUGUCCUAUAAUAUUUACAACCCAAUUUCUCUAUUCUAAUUUUCCGAUUAAUUUUUUUGAAAAGUAAUCUAUAAUCUAGAAUGUAAACUCCACCUGGUUUUCAACAAUUAUUUUCUUUGGAACACACACUUGUCAAGUUUUCAUGCCCACCACUCCACUGAGAUAGCUUUUGCCAAGAUCAUGAGAUUCAUCUUCCUAAAUCCAAUAGUCAAUUUUCUAUCCUAUUCCUACUUGAUGUCACAGCAGUGUUUGAACCAUUCCCUCUCUUAGCUUUUUGCUACUGUGAAAAAAGACCUAAGAAAAUCAACACAGAGAAGGAAAGAUUUAUAUAGCUCAGUUUCAGAGGUUUCACUUCACAGUCUGGCUCCGUGGCUGUGGGCUUGUGAUGAGGCAGAACAUUAAGGUAGAGAAUAUGUGAUGGAGCAAAACUGCUCACCUCAUAGUGGCCAGAGAGCAGAGAGAAAGAGAGGAGCUAGAGUCAAGAUAUAUGCUUCUAGGACAUGACCCCCCAUCUAGUGACCUACCUCUCCCAACUAGUCCCCACUUCCUAAAGUUUCCACCACAUCUCAAGAGUACCACCAGCUAGGGACCGAGCCAACACAGGGGCUUGUGAGAGAUACUCCAGAUUCAACCCAUAUCACCCUCCCCUUCUUAAAACAUUCUCUUUUCUUAGUUUUCAUAGCCAUCUGCUUUUUUGGUUUUCUUACUACCCCACUGUUCCUGUUCUCUAAAUGCUAGAAUACCCAUGGCACCACACACUUGUCCUCUUUAUGUACACUCUCUCUUAGGUGAUCACAUCUAAAUCUGACUUCCAGACUGAUAUAUCCACCUUCCUAUUUGACAAAUCAUUUCAAAUUUACAUUUUCAAAACUCAAAUGGCCAUCUGUCUCCUUUCUACUUCAACUCUUCCCUAUCUCAUUAAGUAGCAUCUCCAUCUACUUAAUUACUCACGUCACAAAUUUAGGAUCAUGCUGGAUUUCUUUUUCCCCACACAUAAUAUACCAAGUCAUCCACAAAUCCUGGUGGUUUAAUCUCCAAAAUAUAUUCCAGAUCUGACUAUUUCUUACCAUUUUAACUGCUAGAGCCCAAGUCUGAGUCAUCACUUGCAAUUCAAGUUCUCACUUGCAAUUCUGCUAUAGCCUCCUAAUACCAUGCUUUCAAGCUUCAAUUUCCAGCCAGUUCUUUGCACAGCAGUCAGAAAAUGCAACUUGAAACAGAUCAGAUAGCACUGUUCUCCUGCUUAAUAUACUUCAAUGGCCUCCUAAGGCCAUAAGAUUCCUUGAGGUCUACAAAUUUUUAUAAGAUUCAGCACUUCUGCCUCCUCCUCCACCCUUAUCUCAUGCUACUCCUCCCAUCUCUCCUUUCAAGCAAGAUGAUCUUCUGUGCUUCCAACAUGCCAAGCCUCUGUACAUGCUGCACCCUCUACCUAGAAUUUCAAAGGUGGCUCCUUCUCUUAUUCCUUUUCUCAACACAAAUGCUACCUUCUCAAAAUCAGCUCCACUUGCAUGUCUAUUAAACUGAGUUCAUUAACUCUAUCCUAUUACUCAGUUUUGUUUUCUUCAUAGACCUGUCACCACUACAAAUCAUCUUACAUUUAUAACCUUACCAGUCCUACUAAAUGUGAGACCCAUGCAAACAGAAAUCAUGUCAUUAUCAUUACCAUGAUAAUGAUAAUGACACCACUACGCAUUAUUUGUGAAAAGAAUGGUUAUUCCACAAUGCUUUUCCAAACAAGAUAUCAACAGUUUAAUUUAAUAAAAUUUACCUUUUUUGUUUUAAAGGAAAUGUUAAAUUUUCCCUCUUUCAAAAUAAUUGCCUAAGACAUAAAUAAAUCUCUAAAAUUCCUGAGAGAAAAGUUAGCAAAUCAAAUUUUUGCUCAGAAACUCUGCCAUCAUUAAGUUGGAAUAUUUUUUUUUCUGGACAUAAAUAACGAGAGACCUAACAGGGAUUCAGAAUGAUAAAUUUUAGCUGCAUUUAUAUUAAUAAUUUCUACUUGACUAAUAAAAUCUAGUUAUAUUAUUAAAUGAAUUUUUUCUCUGAAAAGAAAAAAAAUUAUCUAGGUUAACAGGUAGCACACUGAAGAUUUAUACACUGUGUAGUUCUCCAACUAAUUAAACCUAAUUCACUGUGACCAGGAUUGAAUCAGUAACUAGUUAUUUAUCUGUUUUUCCUAUUGAUGUGUGGCUGAGUGGGGGUUGGGUAAUGUAGCUUCUUUUCUAAAACUGGCCUAGAGUGUUACUACAGCAGUGAUAGAAAACUGUCAAAUCUAAUACUUGUCAUUUUUUAUCCCAAAAUAAACUCCUUUUUAAAAAAAUUUCAAGCAAUUAUUACACCUAGCAGGUCAGGAAAAUAAAGAUUAACAAAAAUUCUUUCAGUGCUAGAAUAUUUCCUUUAUAUUCAGUCUCAAAUGAAACAAAGUAAAUCUACAGUAUAUAAUAUCAUAAUCAUAUCUUAUUUACAUGAUUCAAAGAAAGGCUUUUGAUUUUUUUAAGUUUUUUUUUCAUUUUAAGAGGGGAAACUGCAUACAACAAAGAAUUCUUAAUGCCUUGACAUAUUCCUAUGCUAAGUUUCUUUAUAUGAAACACUGUUGCCUUGCUACCUUUGCUUUUGGUAAAAGAGCUCACCCAAAAGGCAGCUGGUGAGUAAAAUGAAAAUAAACUAAAAAAAAGAUACAAACAAGGAGUUCUCUUUCCCCCAAAACAAAAGGAAGUUUCUACAGAUGAGAUAAAGGUAAAAGCUAUAUUGCUACAUUAAAACUACAACUGCUUAUUCUACAAAACAGAAAAGAUUAAGAAACAAAUAAACCAAGUAAAGUUUUCUCAUUUCUUUAUUUACAUGUUCCUUCAUAUUUAUAAACAAUCUUCUUGUCCUACUACAUUUAUUUUCACAAUAACUACUCUUCCUUAAAAAUCAAACUAUGUUAAAAUAAAACUUUGUAAAACAUCUAAAAAAUUAAAACUGUGUGUAGAUUUUAAGUAUGACUUUAAAUAGUGUCACUCAGAUCAUGGUAAAUGCUAGAUUUAAAAUUCAAGGUAUUAUCAGUUCCUUUUAAACAGCAUUUUGAAAUAACGGGUCAAAUGAAAGCAUCUUUGCUGCAGUAUAUAUUCUUAGAGUUUAGUCAGUCAAAUGAAGUCAUCACAAAACCUCCCUUCAUUCAAACAUAAAACAUUUGCUUACAACCUAAACUACACAUGAAGUGGAAAUACCAAAUGAGUAAGAUGAUUCUUCUUCUUCUUCUUUCUUUCUUUCUUUCUUUCUUUUUUUAGUUAUACAUGGGCACAAUAUCUUUGUUUAGUUAUUUUUAUGUGGUGCUGAGGGUGGAACCUAGUGCCUCAUAUAUGUGAGGCAAGCACUCUGUCACUGAGCCACAACCCCAGCCCUAUACUUCUGCUGUCCUCCCAUUCAGAAACUCUUGCCAAGAAGAGAAAGAUAAUGUAACAGAGUAUAAGAACUUAUGAUGUAAAAGGAAGUAUAAGCGGCUAAGUAAACACAGAACCAAGAUAAAAGAAAACUUUGGGAAGCUUUCCACAGGAAAUAAUACCUAAAUUGAGUCUCAGGGUAUUAGUAGAAGUUAUGCAUAAAUGUAACUUUAGGGGACAGGCUGUAAUUUUAGGGGAAUGGGUGUUUAAUGAGGUUAGUAAAAGAAAGUAGUAGGUAAGGGAAGACCUUGUUUCUACAAGAGGAAGCAGCAUAUGCAAAAGUUAAAGGCAUAAGGAGACCACAGUAUAUUAUCAAGCUGCAAAUAGUUUACAAUUCUGUUGUCUAAUACUGUGACUACUAAGCACUUGAAAUGUAGCUCAUCAGAAUUGAGAUAUGCUGUAAAAGUUAGUAACUUAUUACUAAUCAAUGUCGGUAUUCUGUCCCAGGCCACAGAGUAAAUAAAAGAGAGAUUUAAAUUCAGGUGAACAGAACCAGUUAAAACAAUGUACCCAGGUUCAUUCAACAUACAUAACACAAGGCUGAGUGUCCACUUCAAUUAACUUACGCCAAAAGGCAUAGUUUUUGCUAUCUUCCUUUUAUCCCAUGCCUGAAUGAUGUUUUAAAAAUUCACAACCUAGACAACAGUGCCUUUCCACUCCAAUCAUGGUCUAGUAACAAUAAACCUGUUAUCCCCGAGGUACCAAAAGUCUCCCCCUUCUUGGUACCGUCCCUUCUGAACCAUCUUGAGUCUCUACAGGCCUCCUGGGUUUUGUUUAUUGUUAAUAACUUUAAUCGCUUCGUUAGAUCUGCUUGCUUCCUUCUCCUCCCAACAAAUAAACCUGCCUUUUCCAAUUCUUUCUCCUAAUUUGCCAGUUCCCCAUCUGCCUGUCAGCCUCCUCUCCUCCCAACUCUCCCAGCUGCCGAGAUUAUUCUCUUACGACUUUCUUCUCUCCCAGGUCCCCAAAUCCUCCCUCAUCCCUAAUCCUUUCAAACUCCCUGCUUUAAUAAUUCCGCUUGCAAUCCCAUCCUCAAGCGUCCGGUGGUCAGCUUCCCCUCCGCCCAACCCGUCUCUCCUCGCACCCGGGCCUACCCUGGUCUCCACGCCCUCCCCAAACCCAACCCUCCUGGGCUCCUCAGGAGACCAACGCGGCGUCCCGCCUCCUUGCCUGCCUUCACUGGACCGAAUUCCUAGCCGGGACCCCGGCGUCUAGCCGCCAAAGUGCGGGUGCCAGGCUCCUGCGGAAGCUGCGGGUGGAUGCCGCGGUUGCCGGGGUGCGGGAAGUUUGAACACUGGGAAGGGGUAGGGGCGGGGACGGCGGCUCCAGGGUGGCAGCGGUAAGGCGACUUCGGCUCCAGGGUAACGGAGGCGGAGGCCCAGACUGCACCGCGGGAUUCCCUCAGCCAAUGAUGCUUCUCGCCGGGUUCCCAUUGGCCUCUCUUUCCAGAUGGCCUUUUCUAUUGGUUUCAGUGAAAUUGGAAGGCGGGACGACGAAUGCGACAGAAGACGGCUAUUGGUCGAUCGCUCUAGCUGUAACAGCGCUCGCGAAGGAGGGUGUUCGCCGCGAAGCUCCUCGCGCUUGAGGAGCGUAGGGGUCUGUGCUCCGGAAAGCGCUACUGGGAAGCUUUUCCGGCCCUUUGUGAUGGGGGAAGAACGCGGGCGGAGGGGAGUAGCAUUCGUGAAAUGAAAUGUAAAAUUGGCGACUGCGUAAUUAAAAAGCAUUGGAAAUAACAUGGUUUUAAAUGAGUCAGAAAAAAAAUUAUAAGUGGCUCGUACUUCUCGGUCUCUGCAGAUUUUCUCUUUCCUGAUUUUCAGAAGCAUUUGAGGUUGGUGUAUUAAUGCGCCUGUGGUAAGGUUUGGGCCUUCGUCAAUGACGAACAUGCCUUAAAUUUGGCUUUUUAGGUUGUGAAACAGGUUUGCAGUGGAACGGUUUUUGAAAUACACUUGCACACUCUGCUUUUUAAAGGAAGUGUACUAAAGUGCAUGUUAGUAGCCUAAGACUUGUUCUAUGCUGUAUUUUCCCCCUUUAAACGUCAGCGGUGCUUUAAAAAGCAUUAAGUACAGAAGGUAGGAAACAAUAAAAAGAAAAUCCUCUUAAGGAUUUUAAAUCUCUCUAAGCCUUCUCAUCAAGAUGAUUUAACCCCAUACUCUGCUGCUUUUGCAGUUCAUUUCUCACUGGAUUUUUACCUGCAGAAAAUCCAAUUCUGGAGUGCAAAAUGGUUUGUGGGAAACACAUAAGUACCUGGGUGGAGCAACUUUGGAUCUAAUGAGGGAAACAAUGAGAGGACCAGGUCCUGUAGCAGAAGACAGACAAAAGACUCAGCAACCAUGUAAAAAAACAAAAAGCCACGCUGCAAUAGGUUGGCAACAUGUGGACCGACCAAUUGCUCCUGUCUCUCCAGCAACCCAUAAGAGGGAGGCCAUUCAAAAAGAACCAGGCUCCAGGUGACAUGCCAGCUGAAUGCAGCCACAUAAACUGCUGUCAUUUGGAUAUUGAGAGUCCCCCAAAGGUCCUCGUGUUAUAAAGGCUUGGUCCUCAGGGAGUCCCUUUUGGGGUAUGCUGUGGAUAUUUAGGAGGUGGGGUAAGUAGGAGACCUUUAUGUCAUUUUGUUUGUGCCUUGAAGGGGAUUGUGGGAUCCUGGCUUCUUCCUCUGCUUCUUUUAGUCCCUGGCCAUAGGGUGAGUAGUUUGCUCCUCCACUUGCUCCCCACCAUUACCAUCUGACACCCACACCAUAGAUCUAAAAGCAAUGGGUCCAUGUGACCAUGGACUAGGACUUCAAUGAUUAUGAGCCAAAAGAAACGUUUUCUCUUUACAAGUUAAUUUUCUUGGGUAUUUUGUUAGAGUGAGGGAAAACUGAAUAAUACACAUGCUACAUGUGUCUUCUGCAAUUUGCUCUUUUCUCAGAUUCUGUUUGUAAGAUUUAUCCAUUAUGAUACAAAUAGCUCUAUUUAUUCUUUCUAAAAAUAAAAUUAACUUUUUAUUUCGGAAUGAUUUUAUAUUUACAGAAAAGUUGCAAAAUGCAGAGAGAGUAGAACAUUCUCCCAACUUAUCCCUAUUCCAAUCUAGUGCAGGAUUUCAUAUUACAUUUAGGAUUUAUCUUUUGUUCUUGUGUAUGAAUAUAUUAAAAUUCACUUUUCCAUUGUUAUGUUGAUGAAUAUUUAGAUUUUUUCCAAUGUUUUAUUAAUAUUACUGGUGAUUUUUUUAAUAUCAAAGUAAUAUUACUGGUGAUAUUACUUUGUGUAUCUGCGUGAUGUCUUUGUGCACACAUGAAAUUUAUCACAAAUAUAUCAGAUGACAACUCUACACUAUCACAAAUAUAUCAAAGCUCCCAUUGCUAAUCUUUCCAAAUCUUGGUAUCAUCAAACUACGUUUUUACUAAUUUUAUGAGUCUGAGAUAGCAUCCAUUUUUAUUUUGAUGUACUUUUUUUUUAACUACUGGUGAGAUUGAACAUUUUUCAUGUUUCCUAUUGUGUACUCAGUCAUGUCUGUUGUUAUUUGAUUGUAUUGAUUUGUAGAAGUUUAAUGUAUAUGUAUACUCACUCUACACUAAAUUUUUAUUGGCCGUAUGCAUUGCAAAUAUUUUCUUUAUUAGUGACUUCUCUCGAUUUUUAAGAAAUGAUAUCUUU